rnacentral:rRNA from 1 species
UAAGGAAUAUUGCGCAAUGGACGAAAGUCUGACGCAGCAACGCCGCGUGCAGGAUGAAGGCCCUUUGGGUUGUAAACUGCUGUAGCAGGGGAAUAAUGGUCCCGAGUGAUCGGGAUUUGAAGGUACCCUGAAAGUAAGCGCCGGCUAACUACGUGCCAGCAGCCGCGGUAAUACGUAGGGCGCAAGCGUUGUCCGGAUUCACUGGGUGUAAAGGGUGCGCAGGCGGACUGGCAAGUCAGGGGUGAAAUCUCACAGCUCAACUGUGAAACUGCCUUUGAUACUGCUGGUCUUGAGUCAGGGAGAGGUUGAUGGAAUUCCAGGUGUAGCGGUGAAAUGCGUAGAUAUCUGGAAGAACACCGGUGGCGAAGGCGGUCAACUGGCCCUGAACUGACGCUCAGGCACGAAAGCGUGGGGAUCAAACAG